CAAGAAAUAGUUUUAAAAAAAAUAUUAAUUUUGGAAAUUAAAGAUAAAUAAAUUAUUUUUUCUUGA
rnacentral:tRNA from 1 species